rnacentral:rRNA from 1 species
UGGGGAAUAUUGGACAAUGGGCGCAAGCCUGAUCCAGCAAUGCCGCGUGUGUGAAGAAGGCCUUCGGGUUGUAAAGCACUUUUAUCAGGAGCGAAACGCUGUCGGCUAAUACCCGGCGGAACUGACGGUACCUGAGGAAUAAGCACCGGCUAACUUCGUGCCAGCAGCCGCGGUAAUACGAAGGGUGCAAGCGUUAAUCGGAAUUACUGGGCGUAAAGCGUGCGUAGGCGGUUUCUUAAGUCUGCUGUGAAAUCCCCGGGCUCAACCUGGGAAUGGCAGUGGAUACUGGGAGGCUAGAGUGUGUCAGAGGGUGGUGGAAUUCCCGGUGUAGCGGUGAAAUGCGUAGAGAUCGGGAGGAACAUCAGUGGCGAAGGCGGCCACCUGGGACAACACUGACGCUGAGGCACGAAAGCGUGGGGAGCAAACAGGAUUAGAUACCCUGGUAGUCCACGCCCUAAACGAUGCGAACUGGAUGUUGGUCUCAACUCGGAGAUCAGUGUCGAAGCUAACGCGUUAAGUUCGCCGCCUGGGGAGUACGGUCGCAAGACUG